UUCAGUUUUCUCAAUUAUUUACAUUGAUCCAUUGCAAACUUAAGUAUUCUCAAUUAUUUACAUUGAUCCAUUGAAGAAUGAAUUUCCAUUAUUUCACAGUCCUAGAAUGAAGCAAAAAAUGUGAUAUUGAAGAAGGAAGUGAGAAUGGGGUAAAAAAAAAGAGUUCAUUGAGAAAACACAAAUCAAGUUGGUCUUUGAGUUAUUAACACCUCCAUUUAACCACACCUUUUUUAUACAUAUGGAACCACACCUUGUAUAUACAUAUGGAAGCUUCUAAUAUAGUAGGGAUAUGCAGACAUGGCCAUCCUCAUCACCUGCUCGCAGCCAUAGUUGAAAUAUUAUUCCAUUGGAAAAUUAGAUACCGCCAUCCCCUCUUUAUGGUCUCUACCACAGAGAAGUUCCAAUACAUGCAUAAUCAAUAGUAACCUCAAUUACACAAUUGUAAAAAACAUGCCCGGAAUUACAUCAAAAAAACUUGAAGGAAAAGGAACCCAAAGUAAGCAAGAAGACUUGUGAAGCAAUCCUACACACCAUGUAUUUAUGAAAUACACUUAUCUAUUCAGCUAGGAAAUACACUUAUCUAUCAGCUAGUUAGUAGAAUACAUUGGCGUCCUAUGCCAAUGUACUAUACAUGAAGAACAAAAGAAUGUAAUUUCAAGAAGGAAAAGAAUGCAUCAGAAUGGGAGUGAGAAACACAUUAAAAAAUUAGGAGCAAUACAAAACAUCAACAAUUGGUUCAUUGCAAUUCCCCAAAUUACUCGAACUAAGAAAGGUUCUUUCCGUUCCUCUGCUGAUUGCUUAUUCUCUGCAACAAUAGCCGCAACAUUCACUUCCUGUUGCACCCGAACGACCGAAAAUGAUGAAGAAAUAAAAUUGAAAAAUUAGAAAAGAUAAAAAUGAUGAAGAAUGUAGCAAUCAAAAUUCAAAAUGAAAGAAGAAGAUAAAGUUAAAAAUGAUAUAUUGGUGAGGAGAGUUCCGAAAGAGAAGAACAAAGGAGAAAAGGAAGAGAUCGAGAGAUUCGAAUAGAGCCUACCCAAACAGAGGCAAAACGCCCAUUUAAUUAGAACCUUGUCAAACCUCCUUAGCAUAGCCUGGGAAAUACAAAUAAUAUGAUUUAGAUCAAAGAAAGGAUAUCAAUCUAUGAAAGUAAAGAUUUUUUUUUAAGAAAGAAUAGUAAAACUUGAUUUCAAUACUUAAAAAAUCAGAAGAAGCAUAUAACUUUCAUACCUAUGUAUUAAUGUAUUAAACAUGUAAACAAUCUGAUCACAUGUUGAGUUCAGAUAACAGAUGAACCAAAACAAUUUUGCAGUUAAAUGAGCCACAACCCAGCAUAUAAUUAUCAAUUUAUGCUGCAUGACAAAAUAAAUUAAGCAUGAUUGAAAAACACAGAACAUAAAGUGUUGGCUCAGAAGCUAAUUUGAGUUACCAUCACAUGAUUAUAUCAGAUCAAGUGUGUUCAGAAGCUAAUUUCAAGCUAUGAAUCAGCAAAGACAAAGAGAUAUUUUUUCUUCCUAUUCUCAGAGAGCCACGCCCAACCCCCUUUGUUCAGCCUCCACCAACAAAUCCCCCAUGGAAUGAAACCACAAUCUGAGAGGAAAUAAAAAAUUGAUCUGGGAAGUAAAAGGGAAAAUUACCUUGUGCGCAAUCUGAGAGAAAGGUCAUGAAUGAGCAAACACCAUCAACUCCAGAGGGUUUUUGGAAGCUCCAAUUUCAGAAUCUUGUGCGCCAUUCCAUUCAAAUCAGACUCCAAUUUCUCCAACUCUGAGUCGGAAUCCAC
rnacentral:lncRNA from 1 species